rnacentral:lncRNA from 1 species
UGGAGAGACAGAUAAUAAUAACAAGACGGAUGGUGGUUCAGAACUUACCACAAGGAAGUCUGAAGGUUAAUUUGCCAACUGUGGAAGAAUCAGGCCACUCUGAUUUGUACCCUCUGGUUAGCUCGAAGAAGGACAUAGAUCAUAGAUCCAAAUAAAGAAAUGAUGCCAAAAAUACGGGCAUUACAUUGCCGGGGAUGGAGGGAGGGAGGAAAGGAGGGAAGCAAGGGAGGGAAGAAAAAGGAUCUUUUAGUGGCACGAAGGCUGUGCCAUUCCACUGAAAAGAGUUCCGAGUCCCAAGAGCACUGGGGUAAUGAAGAUUACGAGGCUGGCAUACCUACAGGACUCCAGUUGGCACAACAAAACUGGCCUCUCCUCCAGGCAACAGAAAACAGCCACUUCUGGAAGCUCGUCUCGGGACAUAGAGCAGCAGAAGGCCAGGGAGGCCAAUCAGAUCUUCUUCGGUCACUCCAGCAGGUGCCGGGGCGGCGCGAAUCUUGUGCUCCAGGGGAACCAAUUGCGUAUUUUCUGGGUCAGAAUUCAGAAGUUAGAAUUCUGGGGAAGAGAUGAUAAUGGGCUGUAUAAUUUAUAUUCUCAUCCCCAAGGAUGCAGCAGCAUCCGGGCUCCAAAAGAAUCCGGCAUGGCCGGCCUGCUGUGUGCCUGGUGGAGCUCUGCGCUGGCUGGAAGACAAGUCACUUUCUUUGAGAAUGAUGGUCAUGAUCGUGACAAUUCACAUUUUUAAGCACUGAUGCCCAGUUUGCACUGAAGCCUUCACGUGGAUUAUUUCUCUUUAGCCCUACCAUCAGGACUAGGAUGGAGCCCCAUUAUCACCAC